UUGGUGUUAGGUUAAAUCAUGUAGGAGACUGGGGGACCCAGUUUGGCAUGCUCAUCGCUCACCUGCAAGACAAAUUUCCAGAUUAUCUAACAGUUUCACCUCCUAUUGGGGAUCUUCAGGUCUUUUAUAAGGUCAGGUGCGGUGGCUCGUGUCCGUAAUCCCAGCACUUGGAGAGGCUGAGGCAAGCCGAUUGCUUGAGUUCAGGAGUUGGAGACCAGCCUGAGCAACAAAGAAUCUAAGAAGAGGUUUGAUACUGAGGAGGAAUUUAAGAAGCGAGCAUAUCAGUGUGUAGUUCUGCUCCAGGGUAAAAACCCAGAUAUUACAAAAGCUUGGAAGCUUAUCUGUGAUGUCUCCCGCCAAGAGUUAAAUAAAAUCUAUGAUGCAUUGGACGUCUCU
rnacentral:lncRNA from 10 species